rnacentral:tRNA from 1 species
GGUCCCAUAGCUCAGUUGGUUAGAGCAGCGUACUAAUAGUAUAGCUUCAACUUGAAGUUGCUAUAAUAUCAGUAAAUGCGAAGGUCGUGAGUUCGACCCUCACUGGGACCA